rnacentral:rRNA from 1 species
UACGUAGGGUGCGAGCGUUAAUCGGAAUUACUGGGCGUAAAGCGUGCGUAGGUGGUUCGUUGUGUCUGUGGUGAAAGCCCCGGGCUUAACCUGGGAAUGGCCAUGGAAACUGGCGAGCUGGAGUGUGGGCAGAGGGGGGUGGAAUUCCGCGUGUAGCAGUGAAAUGCGUAGAGAUGCGGAGGAACACCGAUGGCGAAGGCAGCCCCCUGGGCUAACACUGACGCUGGAGGCACGAAAGCGUGGGGAGCAAACAGG